rnacentral:misc_RNA from 1 species
UCAGAGUUACCCCCUAGAUCUCUGAGUUAUAUCUCGGAGCGAUCAUCUCGGCCUGAGACGCGACACGAUUGGGCCAUUACUCAACAGUUCAAACACAAGCAUGAGCAGAACAAAACCAUGACGCCCCACCAGAUCGCCAAACAGGCGGCACACGAUUUGGAGAAGAGGUUUCCCAAGACACAGAUGCCACCAAUGAAGAGCUUCACAAUAGAUCUGGGAGAGAAACCACCAGACCCUGAGGAGUUGCAGAGAGAGAUAGAUUUGAAGGUCCGGAUCAAACAGAGAAAGAAGUUUCUGCGGAAGCUGAACAGAAUGUACCAGUUGUCUAUGGCUCACAAUGCGGCCACCAGCAGAAUACUAGAGAAACAUGGAGAAAUCAACAAAAUACUGGAAGGAAACAGUCUACGAGAUGUGGUAGAUGAGGAGUAUGCCUGUUUGAUGUCUGGGAGUUUCCUCCCGAUGGUCGCUACCCUGCCCGCCCCAGAGGAUGUGUACAUCACAGAGGAGGAUAUCCGAGUCCCUGACCCUGGGGAAAUAUUCGGACCGUUGGUGGAGUCUGUGCCUGUGUCUCGAGCUAGUACUCGAACCAAUCUCAUAUCACAGAAAGGAAGCAGAGAAAAUCUGGCCUCUCAGAAAGGGAGCCGCGAAACUCUGCUCAGUAGAGGGUCCUCCAAAGCGGGCUCCAAAGUAGUCAGGAGACAGACCUUCAGUGUAGGGGACAUUCAGGAGGAUAAAGUCCUCACCUUGCCGCCGGCUCCUUUACCACUCACUAUGGAUGAAAUCCGAACCAAGGCCAAAAUUGUGGAGGCCAAAUGUUUAAGUUCUAACUGGAUAAAUUACAUGAGAGCUGGGAAACCCACAGCAUAAUGAUAGGCUGAAUCUCUACUACUGUAUGAUGAUGUAAAACCUGGAACUUUUCUCUGCUGCACUGGCUAGAUUUAUGUUGUAAUAUCGAAUUAUUUCCAUUUCAUUUCAUACAAAGCGGCAUGUGUUCACAUUCUGAUUGGAAAGUUCUCCUAGUCAGAAAUGUAACUAUUAAAUGAUGUUUUAUAGCCUCAAAGCUGCUUUUAUAAAGAGAAAAUAAGGUGGUGCAUGUUCAUACAUAAAUUUGGCUACAAUACUUAAAGUUUGAAAUCGAUUUGGUACAUGUGCAUGUUGCAAAGAAUGUAAGCAUUCAAACUAGACACAGUUCUAUCUUGUUUUUAUUCGUCACAUUCCAUUGUUGGUCAUUUCAUAUUGUACUUAAUUUAUUUCUAAUAUAAUCAUACAGAUUUCCUAUGAAGGAAAGAAUGUUGUGUUUGCUGUCUUGUGCAUUUUGUUUUUAAAAUGCCCACACCUUGCUACUUAUCUAGUACAUCAUUUUGGUGAUGAAGUUAUUUCUGUUUUCUUAUUCUGUGAUUUCAUCAAUAUUAGAGGACUUUUGUUUUUGUGGAUUUUGUAAAAUUCAUUUUCGAGGAUAUACUAGUAUACAUAUUAGACAGUAAAGAUCUUAUUUCUAUAAGGAUUUGAUUUCGUGGACACACUCAAUAUCAAAAUCCAUGAAAAUUGUUGUUCAACAAAUAUUGAUGAAACCAGAUUACAUGUAUUUGUUUUAAUCUGUUGUUAUUAGUGCAUCAUUUUAUAGUUCUGAUUUGUUGCCCGAGAAACAAAAACCUUGAAGUUAAAUUUGAUGAUACAUGUAUUUAUUUGAAAAAGAAAAAUCAUGACCAUGAUUUCCAAAAUAAAACAUUUAAAACA